rnacentral:rRNA from 1 species
GGGGGCCCGCACAAGCGGCGGAGCAUGCGGAUUAAUUCGAUGCAACGCGAAGAACCUUACCAAGGCUUGACAUGUGCCAGACCGCCGUGGAAACACGGUUUCCCCUUUGGGGCUGGUUCACAGGUGGUGCAUGGUUGUCGUCAGCUCGUGUCGUGAGAUGUUGGGUUAAGUCCCGCAACGAGCGCAACCCUCGUUCCAUGUUGCCAGCGCGUAAAGGCGGGGACUCAUGGGAGACUGCCGGGGUCAACUCGGAGGAAGGUGGGGACGACGUCAAAUCAUCAUGCCCCUUAUGUCUUGGGCUUCACGCAUGCUACAAUGGCCGGUACAAAGGGUUGCGAUACUGUGAGGUGGAGCUAAUCCCAAAAAGCCGGUCUCAGUUCGGAUUGGGGUCUGCAACUCGACCCCAUGAAGUCGGAGUCGCUAGUAAUCGCAGAUCAGCAACGCUGCGGUGAAUACGUUCCCGGGCCUUGUACACACCGCCCGUCAAGUCACGAAAGUUGGUAACACCCGAAGCCGGUGGCCUAACCCCUUGUGGGAGGGAGCUGUCGAAGGUGGGACUGGCGAUUGGGACUAAGUCGUAAACAAGGUAACCGUAAGGGC